rnacentral:rRNA from 1 species
CUGGCUCAGAACGAACGCUGGCGGCAGGCUUAACACAUGCAAGUCGAACGAAGUCUUCGGACUUAGUGGCGGACGGGUGAGUAACGCGUGGGAACGUGCCCCUUGGUACGGAAUAGUCCCGGGAAACUGGGUUUAAUACCGUAUAUUCUCUGCGGAGGAAAGAUUUAUCGCCAAGGGAUCGGCCCGCGUUGGAUUAGGUAGUUGGUGGGGUAAUGGCCUACCAAGCCCGCGAUCCAUAGCU